CAUCUUUUAAAUGUCCUAUACAUUUUCACAAUUCUCCAAUUUAGACAGUAAUAACAAUCAAGUUUUCUCUAUUCAAAACCACACAUUUCAAAGUGAAGCAUACAUUGUAGUUUCUGUAUUACACCCAAUACAGCCCUGUUGUUAAUGUCUCCAGAGUUGAAUGGGGUGUCAGAGGCGCAAGCGGCCAGUGUUGGCCUGUGUUCCAGCAGUAACUCCAAUCUCCCCACAGUGCCAGUGAGGAAGCCAGUGUUGUGGGGAAGUUGACCAGCUGUGUUGUCAGCUUCGAGAGGCUCCUGCAGCGUCCUAUACUUCACGGCUUUCCUGAAGUCGGAGGUCAGUGCUGAGAACAUCUUAUUUUGGAAAGCAUGUGAGAAGGUCCGACAGAUCCUAGCCAAUUAGAAAGAGAAGUUCAACCAGCCUCCAUCUACAACACCUACCUCUCAGGCAGUGCUUCCCAUCCCAUCAACAUUGAUGAUGCAGUCCGCAUUGAGGAGCGGGACGUGAGAAACCCUCACCUUGACAUGUAUCACAAGACCCCAAAACAGG
ensembl:lncRNA